rnacentral:rRNA from 1 species
AACGCGAAGAACCUUACCUGGGCUCGAACGGCUCCGGACCGUCGUGGAAACACGAUCUUCCCCUUAAAAGGAUCGGAGUCGAGGUGCUGCAUGGCUGUCGUCAGCUCGUGUCGUGAGAUGUUGGGUUAAGUCCCGCAACGAGCGCAACCCUCGCCCUUAGUUGCCAGUCCGCAAGGACGCACUCUAGGGGGACUGCCACGGAUAACGUGGAGGAAGGUGAGGAUGACGUCAAGUCCUCAUGGCCUUUAUGUCCAGGGCUACACACGUGCUACAAUGGCCAGUACAAUCCGUCGCCAACCCGCAAGGGGGAGCCAAUCGGAAAAAGCUGGCCUCAGUUCGGAUUGCAGUCUGCAACUCGGCUGCAUGAAGCUGGAAUCGCUAGUAAUGGUGGAUCAGCAUGCCACCGUGAAUACGUUCCCGGGCCUUGUACACACCGUGUCGA